UGCCCGGUCGUCUAAUGGUAGGACAGCAGCCUUUGAAGUUGUUUAUCGUGGUUCGAAUCCAUGCCGGGCAA
rnacentral:tRNA from 1 species